rnacentral:lncRNA from 1 species
CCCAAGUAGUGUGAUAUGGUGUGUGUGUUGUAGACCAGAAGUACCUGAUGCUGUAGAUAAUGUGGACAUGAGUCUGGAGGACUUGCAGCUUCUCCUGAGGACCCACCAGCAAAGUGUGGAGCCCACCGCUGCUGUCGUAGAUCCAUUCAGUUUCAACCUGCCCUUGAGUGAGUGGAACUUUAAUGACAUGGAGUCCAACCUAAAAUCAUACAUGUUUCAGAGCCAGGAGGCAGAGGCUUACCCCAAUGCUGGAUGUGAGGAACAGUAACGGCUUGACAGAUCAGCUGGCACAGGCUAGUCCUGACAAAGAAAGAUAAUUUGGAAUUUCUGGAAAACCAUUAGAAUCUGAAGAAACACCAGUGCACUUCCUUUGACUGUGGAGGACACAUCUACAUGGAAAACAGCCCAGGUCUUGACAAUCUUCCUUUUGAACUGAUAAUACUAUACUGUGCAAUAUUACAGAGUUGUGAGAAUUCACAAGGUUGCAAUACAUCAAUGACCCUUGGAAUGUAUAAAGUAACUGUAUCAGAGGCUGCAUCAUAAGUAACACCUGUAGACUAUAAUCUUAGAAGAGGGAAAUGUAAGGUGGCGUAUAAUUGAAAUUGCACUAAGAAUUAUCAUUGUAUUAGAUUUAGCAGUGUUCAUUUAGACUUAGUAUUUAUCAGUGUUUUCUUUAUUACUGAAAUAUGAGUUUCUCUGAUUUGCUAGGAGUGAUACUUUACAUUCAAUUGGCGUUGUAUUUCUUUUUUAUUCAUUUGCACUGAUCGGAUGUUGAUGAUCGGAUGUUUUUAAAUAUACAUAAUGCUUGUCAAGAUUGCAGACUCAUCAAAAUAUUAAAACAUUUUUGAUUAAUCAUCAUCUUCCGUAACAAAAGAAAUCCAUGGUUAUAAUGCAUCAUUGUCUAUGGCUUUGCAAGGACAGUAUUGUACAUGGGCAGAACUGGACUAAAGUCACAAUGAAACAAACAUGUAUGCAAUGACAAUAAAUGUAGUUAAAAAUAAAAGUGAGCAUUUUACAAGUGCUCUCGUUUGUGUGUGGGGAAGAGGGAGUGGUGGAGUAUUUUACCAAAAGGAGGCCUAUCAUGAAAUUAUAGUAUUUUACCAAAAAGAGGCCUAUCAUGAAAUUAUAGUAUUUUCUAAUGUAUAUGUAUAUUUUUUCUAAGCAGAAUAAUUAUUUUACAUGAUUUCUGUAAGAACUAUAUGAUAGCUGUUAGCUCAUCAAAAAUGUAAGGAAAACUCAUUUUUGGGGGUGGGAGUAGAGGGUGGCACUGAGGGUAGAGGUUAACAAGCAGUACAGAUUCUAAGUAUUUUUGCUCCUUCAUUACUUUCAUCCAGUGGGAUAUGAUCCUGCUUACAAGACUCUGGGAAACAGGAAAAAAAAACCUGCAAGAUCUCCUUGGAUUAGGUUGAAUUUCUGCCUCAUCAGGGUCAUCAGUAUUAGAUCCAUGAUGUCCAGUUUGAAGUUGGUGCUGUUGAAAGGUGUAAGGAAAGAAACGUGCAAAGAAUGCAAGAAAAGGUAGGCCAGUGUAAAUUGUUGAGCUGGUGUCGUUCUUGAACGGUUUUGGUUAAUAGUUCCUCAACUUUGUUACAUUGGAUUUGUUUAUGACAGGUGGAUUUAUUUGGAGGCCAUUUUGUCAUGUAGCUGAAUCUUCCCACUUGAUUUGAAUUCCGCAGUUUGCAUCUGGUCAUCCUCAUAUUCAGUAAAGUUACAGCUUUGCGGUAAACUGUCACCAUGACGAUCAUCUGUACAAAAUGUAAGAAUGUUAACUACUUAUUUUUUGCAAACUUGACCAAUGCCACAUACACGUCAUGUUGGGAACUGUAAAUACGACCUUCCUACUGGGAAAAUACACAUGAAGGCCCCUCCAACUUGUAAUUACAACUGGAAACGACUGAUUUCUGGACCCUGAUCUGUCCCACAUGCUGAACUCUGAUGUCAUGCACCGCUGAAAAUGGCAGCGAUUUCGGCUGUCAAUGAUGAGAAGGUUUCUUGCUUUCCUUCCGAGCACUUGAAUGCUCAGUCGUUCCUCUGAUCACUCCGACAUAACAUAACACUCAAACAUAAAAAACAAGUAAGUUAGCUAAAUACAAUGUGUCUCAAAUCAAUUAGGUAACGUUAGCUAGCUACAUUUUCUAACCUGAAUGCAUGUUCUCAUAUCUACACAGACUAGCAGCUUGUUGUUGGCAAAGAAAGUAAACAGGUAGGCUACCAUGUGACUAACAUUAAUUGUAGCUGACCUACUAGUAUGGUCAGUGUGUUCAGAGUUGGAUCGUGUUUCCUUAGCUAGAGCAGCUAUGUAAGUAUAUUAUUUUAUUACAUGUUAGCACCUUUCCCACUUGGCUAGCUAGUGUUAGCUUUAACGUUACACACAUUACUUGUUUGAAUUGAUGACGUCCUGAACAGUAGUUGCCUUUCCUUCUUUACAUGGGCAUCGUAGCCAAGAUACUUUUCUGGAAUAGGGUGCUCCUCUGUAGGUUUCCUGUCCACAAAGUGGAAAGAGCAAUUGAGGGUAGUUUCGGGUAUUUAUUCAAAUGUGUGGCUUUGAGCCAAAUCUGAAUGGAUGCCUCG